rnacentral:rRNA from 1 species
GAUGAACGCUGGCGGCGUGCUUAACACAUGCAAGUCGAACGGAAAGGCCCAAGCUUGCUUGGGUACUCGAGUGGCGAACGGGUGAGUAACACGUGGGUGAUCUGCCCUGCACUUCGGGAUAAGCCUGGGAAACUGUGUCUAAUACCGGAUAGGACCACUUCUUGGAUGUUGUGGUGGAAAGUUUUUUCGGUGUGGGAUGAGCUCGCGGCCUAUCAGCUUGUUGGUGGGGUAAUGGCCUACCAAGGCGUCGACGGGUAGCCGGCCUGAGAGGGUGUACGGCCACAUUGGGACUGAGAUGCGGCACAGGCGCCUACGGGAGGAAGAAGUGGGGAAUAUUGCACAAUGGGCGCAGGCGUGAUGCAGCGGCGCCGCGUGGGGGAUGACGGACUUCGGGUUGUAGACUCCUUUCGCUAGGGACGAAGCGUUUUGUGACGGUACCUGGAGAAGAAGCACCGGCUAACUACGUG